GGCGCGCUCUUCCCCUCCCCCGCGGCCGGGAGCUCGAGCCUCUGUGACGUCACGGGCCACCCGCCAGCCCCGCGCUCCGCCGGGCAGAGCGCGUGCGGCCGCCGAGCACAUGGGCCCGCGGGCCGGGAGGGCUAGGGGCGACCGGGCAGAGGAGGAGCAGCGAGGAUCCGCGAGCAAGGAUGGGUCCCCGCACCUACCGGAGCCCCCCAGAGGAUUUCCACGAGGAAGGAUGUUGGCCGCUCCGGUGACCCGUGGGACACGGCUGGAUCCACCCUCCAAUCAGGUUAGUAUCGCUGGCACACUCUUCCGGGUCUCACCAAGAGUUGACAUGAGACACUGAGGACAGAAGGAGGAGAACGAGUCCUGGCCUCUCCAGAUCGCUGACUGGAGGCUUUAAAGAGCCCCCCGCUCCUGAAGUGCCGGGUGCCAGCAGAGCAGCUGCCUGUCAGUUGGAGGUUUGUGCCAGCCCUCGUCCCGCCCCAGGCCAUCGCUGCGAAAGUUUACUUAGUGAAAUGUGCCUGUGACUUCAGGCCUGAACUUUGGACCAGAAGGAGGUUAAGAAGAUGCUGCUCAACACAGCUGCGCUGCCAGUUCAAGGAGCCUCACUCAAGAUCUUCCCUGAGCCUGAUGGAUUUAUAGCGAUGUUCCGUCUCCUGGGGAAUAAGACUGGUGGAGUCUUGCCCUGGAAUUACACACACGCGACACGUUUCAGGAUGGUACAAGAGAUUUUUAAGGAAGACCCCGGCCAAGGGCUUUGUGGUUUCUUCCAGCUUGGAUGCCCUCAGGGGCCAGACUGGACCAAGGAUCACAGCUGCCAGCUCCCUCGGGCUCCCUCGGGCUCGCUCUGAAACAAUCCGGUUAAACCUGGGACUUAGGUGCUUUUUUCAUCUGAGAAAAGGCAUAUCCAUUCAGCACUCCAGGAUUUGAGCGCCGCCCUUCCCUGAACUAAAGAUGGGAUGUUCCAGGCUCACGAGAGGACCCCUGGCUCCACCCAUGGAGGUGCCACCACCCGGCGACCACCGUCCGGAGUGUCUCUGCCUGCCGUUCUCCCAGAGCGACGCUCCCCGUCCCAGCCGGUCUCCACUUCCGCGGCGUUCCUCUCCAGGGCUCACCCUUCACCUCUCCGCUCCCUUGGGAUCCAGGUUUAUCUGAGGAACAGGAACACGUUCACCCUCUGGCAGGUUGCGGAGCCCACAAGGAGACCUGAGAGCCCUGUGUGCUUGCGGCUUGUCCACCCGGGGCCGGGAAGAAGGCUCUUGGCCCUUCUGAGCCUCCUUCCACCUCUGCAGAGGGGACCGUUCUCAGGAUCAGGUGACAUUUUUGUCUGUGACCCUGCAAGACCCUGAAGAUGCUGCACCAGUGGGCACGGAGCCAAUGCGUGCUUUGGUUCUUUAGACCUGAACUCGGUCAGCUGCCCCUGAAAGCAGAGCACCGGAAGGCCUCUGGUGUCCCCCAGCGUCACCCCCCACACGGCCACCACCCAUUUUCCAGCUGAUGAAAUUGCUAGGGUUUAACUGGAGUCGGCGAUGGGAGCAAAAACCCAAGGCAGCGCCCAGGUGCGUAGUGCCGUGAUGCUGUAUCUGCUCCCCGCUCCACCCCGUCACCAACCACCGUGAACUUGAACAUAAACCUCCAUAUACGUGUUCAGAACAAACUUUGUUUUCAGGAGACGUUUAAAGGUGGUGCAGCAUCGUAAAGGUGGUCCCAAAAGUUCCCGAACACCCUGCAGAUAGGGUGUCUGUCUGUUUUCUCAUCUCCUUUGUGUAUUUGGGUUUUGUGGAUGGAAGUCACCAUGCACAGCCAGUGUUGCGGAGCGGGGAUUUGCCAGGCUCUGCGGUGCACACCUGAAUCCCAUGACUCAGGGGCUGAGGCACGAGGAUCUCCAGUUCCAGGCCAGUCUCAGCAUCUUAUCAAGGCCCUUGGCAACUUAGUGAGACCCUGUCUCAAAAUAAAAAGGAUUGGGCACAUAGCUCAGUGGUAAAGCACCCCCUGGGUUCAAUCCCCAGUCGCCCCUCUCCCCAAAAUAAAAGAGGGAGUGGGAGUUUAUGUUCCCUCUUCUUUAUGCAGAGAAUAUCUACAUAGAGUUUUUUGGAAUUUUUUUACAUGGGAGAUUUGUCCCUUCUCUCUCAUUUAUUUACUAUUAUUGCUAUGGACUCAUGUUUAUUUCAUA